rnacentral:rRNA from 1 species
UACGUAGGGUGCGAGCGUUAAUCGGAAUUACUGGGCGUAAAGCGUGCGCAGGCGGUUUUGUAAGCCAGAUGUGAAAUCCCCGGGCUCAACCUGGGAAUGGCAUUUGGGACUGCAAGGCUGGAGUGUGGCAGAGGAGACUGGAAUUCCUGGUGUAGCAGUGAAAUGCGUAGAUAUCAGGAGGAACACCGGUGGCGAAGGCGGCUACCUGGCCCAACAUUGACGCUGAGACCCGAAAGCGUGGGGAUCAAACAGG